UAUUACGUCUUGGUCCUCAAG
ensembl:piRNA 21ur-15226 ncRNA